GCCUCGGUGGAGUCGCUGGUAGGCUGUUGGACUUACAAUCCAAAGGUUGUCAGUUCGGAUCCCCGGGGUG
rfam:Culex pipiens quinquefasciatus supercont3.1771 genomic scaffold, whole genome shotgun sequence.